rnacentral:misc_RNA from 1 species
GAUGAAGAACGCAGCGAAAUGCGAUACGUAAUGUGAAUUGCAAAUUCAGUGAAUCAUCGAGUCUUUGAACGCACAUUGCGCCCCCUGGUAUUCCGGGGGGCAUGCCUGUCCGAGCGUCAUUGCUGCCCUCAAGCACGGCUUGUGUGUUGGGCCCCGUCCUCCGAUCCCGGGGGACGGGCCCGAAAGGCAGCGGCGGCACCGCGUCCGGUCCUCGAGCGUAUGGGGCUUUGUCACCCGCUCUGUAGGUCCGGCCGGCGCUUGCCGAUCAACCCAAAUUUUUUAUCCAGGUUGACCUCGGAUCAGGUAGGAAUACCCGCUGAACUUAAGCAUAUCAAUAGCGGAGGA